rnacentral:lncRNA from 1 species
GGAAGUUUACAAAAAACGACAAGACUUAUAUUCUUCUUAUUAUUGUAUCUACUCCUUCAGAACGAAGCAAGAGACAAAGUAAGUAUAUUGGAUUUCGUAAGGAAGAGGAAGAAGCAGCAGAAGCAGAGGUUCUUGAGAGAUGGCCUGAAGAAGCUAACUUUAAAGAGUGCCAAUGUCAUAAAAGGGGGUCCUAUGGCACACAGGGUUAAGUCAGGCGAAAGAAGAAAUUAAAAGAAAAGGUAUAUAAAAUUAAAUUUCAUAUAUAUUGUUAUUAACGUUAAUUAGGAUUAUGAGUUGGGUAGAUUCUUGUAAUAUAUGUAUUAGCAUAAAUAUGGAGCUUGAAGCUCACUUCGACUAUGUUCUUGAAUGUAUACAAUAAUAUUAUUUUUCACUAUGAAUUUGUAACAUUCAUGAGAAUCCAACUCAGCCUAUAUUGUUACGCAAGUGUUUCAGGCAAGGUUAUUGUUUAUUGUUCAUGAUUAAGUUGAUUGGAUAACUUGGAUUAAUUAGAUUUUCAUGUCUGACAUAUUAUAAUGUGUAUAUCUUUUAGAGGUACGAAUAAUUUGAUUGACAAUAGAUAGGGUUGCUU